UUCUUCCACAAGAAUUGGUUGCUGAAAAUGCUUUUUCUCAUUCCUUGCGAGAUGCCUCUGAAGGAAACUGUGUGUUAGACAAUUCAGAAACAAGUACUGAUAUCGUCGACAGCAGCUGUGAUGACCAUGCCCAAAAUAUUAGAAGCGUUGCGAAAAACCUAAA